rnacentral:rRNA from 1 species
GACGAACGCUGGCGGCGUGCUUAACACAUGCAAGUCGAACGGAAAGGCCCUGCUUGCAGGGUACUCGAGUGGCGAACGGGUGAGUAACACGUGGGUGAUCUGCCCUGCACUUCGGGAUAAGCCUGGGAAACUGGGUCUAAUACCGGAUAGGAGCCAUUUUUAGUGUGAUGGUUGGAAAGUUUUUUCGGUGUAGGCUGAGCUCGCGGCCUAUCAGCUUGUUGGUGGGGUAAUGGCCUACCAAGGCGGCGACGGGUAGCCGGCCUGAGAGGGUGGACGGCCACAUUGGGACUGAGAUACGGCCCAGACUCCUACGGGAGGCAGCAGUGGGGAAUAUUGCACAAUGGGCGCAAGCCUGAUGCAGCGACGCCGCGUGGGGGAUGACGGCCUUCGGGUUGUAAACUCCUUUCGCUAGGGACGAAGCUUUUUGUGACGGUACCUAGAUAAGAAGCACCGGCUAACUACGUG